rnacentral:snoRNA from 1 species
AAUCCAGUGAGGAGGAUCUCCCAUUAAUUGAUAGGAAGUGCCGUAUGACACUCUAAACAGCAGUUCCGUUUAAAUGAUCUCAUCCGCCGAUUAACAUAUUGUUGUUAUCGGCCGAGAUUGUUCUUUGCGGAACUGUGUGUGAGAUUUGAAACGGGUCUCCUGAGGAUU